ensembl:rRNA 5S_rRNA 5S ribosomal RNA
GUCUACAGCCAUACCACCCUGAAUGUGCCCAAUUUCCCCUGAUCUUGGAAGCUAAGCAGGGUCGGUCGGGCCUGGUUAGUAUUUGGAUGGAAGAUGUUGGAUUCCCACAUGGCUAACCACAGGUUGAGUCC